UACGGGGGGGACAAGCGUUGUUCGGAAUUACUGGGCGUAAAGGGUGCGCAGGCGGUCUCGUAAGCUGGGUGUGAAAGCCCCGGACUUAACCUGGGAAUGGCAUUCAGGACUGCGAGGCUUCGAGUGCGGCAGAGGGAGGUGGAAUUCCACGUGUAGCAGUGAAAUGCGUAGAGAUGUGGAGGAACACCGAUGGCGAAGGCAGCCUCCUGGGCCAGCACUGACGCUCAUGCACGAAAGCGUGGGGAGCAAACAGG
rnacentral:rRNA from 1 species